ACCCGCUGAACUUAAGCAUAUCAAUAAGCGGAGGAAAAGAAACCAACAGGGAUUGCCCUAGUAACGGCGAGUGAAGCGGCAACAGCUCAAAUUGAAAUCUGGCUUCGGCCCGAGUUGUAAUUUGCAGAGGAUGUUUAUGGUGCGGUACCUUCCGAGUUCCCUGGAACGGGACGCCACAGAGGGUGAGAGCCCCGUCUGGUUGGAUACCAAACCUGUGUUAAACUCCUUCAACGAGUCGAGUAGUUUGGGAAUGCUGCUCUAAAUGGGAGGUAAAUCUCUUCUAAAGCUAAAUACUGGCCAGAGACCGAUAGCGCACAAGUAGAGUGAUCGAAAGAUGAAAAGCACCUUGAAAAGGGGGUUAAACAGUACGUGAAAUUGUUGAAAGGGAAGCGUUUAUGACCAGACUUGUGUCGUGUGGCUCAUCCGAGGUUCUCCCCGGUGCACUCCACGCGGCUCAGGCCAACAUCGGUUCUUGUUGGAGGAUAAGAACAGUAGGAACGUAGCUCUCCUUCGGGGGAGUGUUAUAGCCUAUUGUACGAUACUCUGACGGGGACCGAGGACCGCGCUUCGGCUAGGAUGUUGGCGUAAUGGUCAUUAGCGACCCGUCUUGAAACACGGACCAAGGAGUCGUCCAUUAGAGCGAGCGUUUGGGUGUAAAACCCGCACGCGUAAUGAAAGUGAAAUUAGGUGAGAGCUUCGGCGCAUCAUCGACCGAUCCUGAAGUUUACGGAUGGAUUUGAGUAAGAGUUUUAACGGACGGACCCGAAAGACAGUGAACUAUGCUUGAAUAGGGUGAAGCCAGAGGAAACUCUGGUGGAGGCUCGCAGCGGUUCUGACGUGCAAAUCGAUCGUCAAA
rnacentral:rRNA from 1 species